CCUACGGGAGGCAGCAGUGAGGAAUAUUGGUCAAUGGGCGCAAGCCUGAACCAGCCAAGUCGCGUGAGGGAUGACGGUCCUAUGGAUUGUAAACCUCUUUUGUCGGGGAGCAACGCCCGCCACGUGUGGCGGGACUGAGAGUACCCGAAGAAAAAGCAUCGGCUAACUCCGUGCCAGCAGCCGCGGUAAUACGGAGGAUGCGAGCGUUAUCCGGAUUUAUUGGGUUUACAGGGUGCGUAGGCGGAACGUUAAGUCAGUGGUCAAAUGUCGGGGCUCAACACCUGCCUGCCGUUGAAACUGGUGCUCUUGAGUGAACGAGAAGUAUGCGGAAUGCGUGGUGUAGCGGUGAAAUGCAUAGAUAUCACGCAGAACUCCGAUUGCGAAGGCAGCAUGCCGGCGCUCAACUGACGCUGAGGCACGAAAGCGUGGGGAUCGAACAGGAUUAGAUACCCGUGUAGUC
rnacentral:rRNA from 1 species